rnacentral:tRNA from 1 species
AGAAAGAUAAGCUAAUAAAGCUUUUAGGUUCAUACCCUAAAUAUAGAAUAAAAAUAUUCUUCUUUCUA